AUAUUGCACAAUGGGCGAAAGCCUGAUGCAGCGACGCCGCGUGGGGGAUGACGGUCUUCGGAUUGUAAACCCCUUUCAGUAGGGACGAAGCGCAAGUGACGGUACCUGCAGAAGAAGCACCGGCUAACUACGUGCCAGCAGCCGCGGUAAUACGUAGGGUGCGAGCGUUGUCCGGAAUUACUGGGCGUAAAGAGCUCGUAGGCGGUUUGUCACGUCGUCUGUGAAAUCCCUCGGCUUAACCGGGGGCGUGCAGGCGAUACGGGCAGACUUGAGUACUACAGGGGAGACUGGAAUUCCUGGUGUAGCGGUGAAAUGCGCAGAUAUCAGGAGGAACACCGGUGGCGAAGGCGGGUCUCUGGGUAGUAACUGACGCUGAGGAGCGAAAGCAUGGGUAGCGAACAGG
rnacentral:rRNA from 1 species